rnacentral:rRNA from 1 species
GUGUCGGCAAGGGGGGCAUCCCGACUUACCAACCCGAUGCAAAC